rnacentral:rRNA from 1 species
UACGAAGGGGGCGAGCGUUGUUCGGAAUUACUGGGCGUAAAGGGCGCGCAGGCGGCUCAGACAGUCAGAUGUGAAAGCCCCGGGCUUAACCUGGGAACUGCAUUUGAUACUACUGAGCUUGAGUACGGGAGAGGAUAGUGGAAUUCCCAGUGUAGAGGUGAAAUUCGUAGAUAUUGGGGAAGAACACCGGUGGCGAAGGCGGCUAUCUGGACCGUAACUGACGCUGAUGGCACGAAAGCUGGGGGAGCAAACAGG